rnacentral:rRNA from 1 species
CAGCCGGUGAAAAGAAAAAAAAAGGGCAGCCGGUGCUAAGUAUCUCAGUCUCUCACCGCACACUAAUGAGGAGCAGUCGCUUUCUCACAACAGGAUGUGUGUGUGUGUGGUGAGACGGUGAGAGACAGUCACUUUGCUUUCUCCGCCGCACGCCGCCGGCCGCCUUCUUUGGAGCAGGGCGCACGCCGUCGGCCGCCUUCUCUGGAGCAGGGCGCAUCCUCUCCGGCCACGACGUCUUCUGGCGCCCCCUCCCCGCACCACCACCACCACCACCACGGCCUUGCCCCGUCUCCUAUCCCCAUGAUGGCCUUGCCUCGCCGGCUCUUAUCCCCACCACGGCCUCGCCCCGCCGCCUCCUCUCACCAUCGCGGACUUGCCUCGCCGCCAACCCCGUGGAUCUUCCCUACAUCGACUCUGCCGCCGCCAUCAUACAUCCCCAGAGCAGAUCGAGAUGCGAGCUGCUGGACACGAUGCAUGCAGGAGCAGGCAUCUUGAAUUGGACCGAGAUCCAGUGCGUCGACCUCACACAGUCGCUCCGGGAAGGAGUUCGCAGCCUACGCUCGGUUGCUGAAGG